CACCCACCUCCGUGGUCUCCUCAGGUCCUGUCGGCUUCCUUCUCGCUAGCCAGCUUCCCGCCGCGGCGCUGGACGCUUGCUGGGCAGAAUUCCAGGGGGAUGGCAUGCACUCCUUUUCCAAGGACAAUGAAAUCAGGAGCUGAGUACCAAACCACACUGACACUUGAGGCUUGGCUGUACAGACACAGGUCUGCUGCUACAGGAAUGUGUCAGAAGCUGGAUCACCGGUAGUUCAGGCUGUAGAGGCAAUCGGAGACCAUCAUUGAGUUUAAUGGGAAGAAGAUCAGGCAUAAUAGGAAGACACUGAACACAGAGCAAUCUGACUGUCAGAACCAGCUUUUCAGAAGAGCUUGCGGGAAUCCAGUCAGGAAGCUCAGAGGAGGGCAAUUCAAGUCACACAUGCAGAGAUGACAGGAUUGUUGCGUCUUUGAGUAAAUUCAUUUAAAGGUCUUUGGAAAACAUAUUUCUGGCAACUAUGUGAGGUAUGAGGACAGAUGAAGCUUGAAUUUAAGAGGCAGGAUCUGUUACUGAUGGCUCAGACAACCCCUAUCCUGAUGAAUACAGAGACGGAGCUUAAAGACCAAGCCACUGCAGUGCCACAGACCCAGGACCAAGUGUGUCAACUUUAUGCACUGAAGCAUGGGACACAGAUGCUCAAAUAUG